CGCUGGCGGCGUGCUUAAUACAUGCAAGUCAACUUGACUUUAGAUAGCAAUAUCGAAAAGUAGGGUGGCGCACGGGUGUGUAACGCGUAGGUAAUCUGCCCUGAGGUCUGACAUAACCCGUCGAAAGGCGGGCUAACAUCAGAUGAUAUAUAAUCACGACAUCGUGGAAAUAUCAAAUCUUCGGAGCCUUGGGAUGAGCCUGCGUCUGAUUAGGUAGUUGGCGGAGUAAUAGCCCACCAAGCCUACGAUCAGUAGCUGGUCUGAGAGGAUGAUCAGCCACACUGGAACUGAGACACGGUCCAGACUCCUACGGGAGGCAGCAGUAAGGAAUAUUGCUCAAUGGGGGGAAACCCUGAAGCAGCAACGCCGCGUGAAGGAUGAAAUACUUUGUAUGUAAACUUCUGUAAGAUGGGAAAAAUAUUCUCCUCGGGAGAAUUGAUUGUACCAUCAGAGUAAGCCCCGGCUAACUACGUG
rnacentral:rRNA from 1 species